ACAGGAGGAGAAAGUGAGAAAGGAAGAAGGAGAGAGAGCAAAGUAGAAAAGGAGAGGUUUUUGAGGGAAGAAUGAAGGCGCUUCAGAAGAACCAGGGGCGGACAGACCAGAUGCUGGGUGCUAUGGCUGACAUGCUGACUUCCUUGGCAUUGCCCAAUCAACAGUGGCCCGCAGAGAACAAUGACGCAGCAACAGAGCCCCCGGUGAGCCAGGAGGAGAAGAAGGGGGCAGGAGGCCCACGACACUUGGACCCAGCUGGGCUAGAGGACUGGGAGCAGGGGUCCCCCACACAAGACCACCUGGAGAGGAGAGGAGGAAGAGACAGAGCAGGUGAGACCUGAAACAUCACACCUUUCCAUCCUCGUUUUCUUGAAAUGUUUCUGUAAAGAAUUGUUUGGGUACCUAACUCGACUCCAUUGCCACCUCUUGCCUUGACGACCUGAAACACUUCAUCUGGCCAUUGUCUACGACUGUCAGUCUGUAUCCACACACAGCCUGUGUGUGUGUGUCCACAAACCCUCGCCUGCCAGUCUAAACAGGGCCUCACCUAACCUGUCUGGUUUGUCCCACCUGGAAUAUAAAUAUCCAUGUUCUGGUCUGCUGCUUGUUCCAGUAUCCAUGAUGGCAGGGUUUCAGGUGUCCUUUCAGUGACAUUAAAAAGCAACUUGGUCGAACACUCAAUCACCUCGUGAAUGACACCUGGCCUGUUGACAAAUACUCUAAUAUUCUUAGGACUUCAUUUCUACCACCCACUUGUCUUGAACACAACAUCUUGUACUACGUUCAUGUGUGUUUCCCCUCCAUUACGUCCCUGCUUGUAGGCGUAUGUGUUCAGCUGUACCUAAAAUAGACACUUAGAUCAGUCAUGUGAGAUAAUAUGAGCAGGUGUGUUAUCAGAUGGGAGUCACCGGAAGCUUCCUGAAGCUUGGGAUUUAGCCGGUAAUGAACCACCUCCCUGUAUCUGCACUGUUAGCACUGAUAGGACGAUAUAGGACCUAAUCUGACCAAUGGGAGGAUCAGGGCCCAGUUAUCCCCGUUAAUGGACCGUGUAGGAAAACUGGGAUCAGUUUGUGGGCAUGCUUGCGUACGUGUGAGUGUGUUUGUGUGUCAGAGUAGGGAGGCUGGCGUGGGGAGGCUGCGUGGCCAACCGUUUCCAGAUGGGGAAAAUGGAUGCAAAAUGUUGAGGGAAAACCCCACUAUUGGUUACAGACAGCCAUUCUUGGUUGAUUUAGCUCUGAAAAGGUUUGCGUGCGUUCCCAUUUUCCUUGAGUGCAAUCAAACAAAAGGAGCUUUGUAGCUGGAUGUG
rnacentral:lncRNA from 13 species